AGUGAACGCUGGCGGUAGGCCUAACACAUGCAAGUCGAACGGCAGCACAGUAAGAGCUUGCUCUUACGGGUGGCGAGUGGCGGACGGGUGAGGAAUACAUCGGAAUCUACUUUUUCGUGGGGGAUAACGUAGGGAAACUUACGCUAAUACCGCAUACGACCUACGGGUGAAAGCAGGGGAUCUUCGGACCUUGCGCGAUUGAAUGAGCCGAUGUCGGAUUAGCUAGUUGGCGGGGUAAAGGCCCACCAAGGCGACGAUCCGUAGCUGGUCUGAGAGGAUGAUCAGCCACACUUGAACUUGGGCACCGUCCAGACUCCUUAGGGGAGCAGCAGUUGGGAAUAAUUGGCAAUUGGGCCAAAGCUUGACCAAGCCUUCCGCGUUGGUUGAAGAGGCCUUCGGGUUGUAAAGCCCUUUUGUUGGGAAAGAAAAGCAGCAGGUUAAUACCCCGCUGUUCUGACGGUACCCAAAGAAUAAGCACCGGCUAACUUCGUG
rnacentral:rRNA from 1 species